rnacentral:rRNA from 1 species
GACGAACGCUGGCGGCGUGCCUAAUACAUGCAAGUCGAACGCAGUGGGGACGGGUGAGUAACACGUGGGUAAUCUCCCAUCAGAGUGGAGAAAACUUGGAAACAGGUGCUAAACCGAUACUGAUGGAUGGACUCGUGGUGCAUUAGCUAGUUGGUGGGGUAACGGCUCACCAAGGCCACGAUGCAUAGCCGGCCUGAGAGGGUGAUCGGCCACACUGGGACUGAGACACGGCCCAGACUCCUACGGGAGGCAGCAGUGGGGAAUCUUGGGCAAUGGGCGAAAGUCUGACCGAGCCACGCCGCGUGAGUGAAGAAGGUUUUCGGAUCGUAAAGCUCUGUUGUUAGAGAAGCGGUAUCUAACCAGAAAGCCACGGCUAACUACGUGCCAGCCGCCGCGGUAAUUC